UACGUAGGGUGCGAGCGUUGCCCGGAUUUAUUGGGCGUAAAGGGCGCGUAGGCGGCUCUGCACGUCCGUUGUGAAAUCGCCCGGCUCAACUGGGCGGGGUCAGCGGAUACGGCGGAGCUUGAGCAAGCUAGGGGGCAAUGGAAUUCCGCGUGUAGCAGUGAAAUGCGUAGAUAUGCGGAGGAACACCGAUGGCGAGGGCAAUCCCCUGGGCCUGCACUGACGCUCAUGCACGAAAGCGUGGGGAGCAAACAGG
rnacentral:rRNA from 1 species